AACGCACAUUGCGCCCAUUAGUAUUCUAGUGGGCAUGCCUGUUCGAGCGUCAUUUCAACCCUUAAGCUUAGCUUAGUAUUGGGAAUCUGCUUAACCGCAGCUCCUUAAAUCUAGUUGGCAGAGCACAGCUGUACUCUGAGCGUAGUAAUUCAUUAUCUCGCUUUUCGAAGACAGCAGUACGAUCGCCAUAAACCUAUUUAUUUUUUAAUGGUUGACCUCGGAUCAGGUAGGAAUACCCGCUGAACUUAA
rnacentral:misc_RNA from 1 species